AAGAAAACAUGUUUUUUUUUCUAAAAACUGAGGUAAAUAGUAAUUGAUCUGCACCAUUUAGUAACUGGUUCAUGCCAGUUACUAGCCAGACGUUCUGACACAGUUGUUUGUGUGUUUUUUUCACAGAAACACGCCUGCGUCAGAAUCCAGGUGUCAAGCCCAGUGUCCUUUAUGUUUUCCAAACAACCUUCCAUUGAAGCUCCCUUUUGGCUAAGUACACCAGAUCCAGGUAACCAGCAGCAAACAAAGCAGGAUUUCUGAAAAAACCAGCAGGAGGCCAGCCCUCCAGUUGUGGAGUUUGACACCCCUGCUUUAGGAUACAUGGUUUCUCAUGGGGGAGUUUCAGUGGCAGCUGUUGAGAUGAGAGCCAAUUUGCCUGCCACACAGGAACUGCAUGGCAAAGACUGAAAGCAGCUUCGACGUGG